rnacentral:tRNA from 1 species
GGGCCCCUAGCUCAAUUGGCAGAGCACCCGCUUCGCAAGCGGGAGGCUCCGGGUUCGAGUCUCGGGGGUGUCCA